rfam:Oryza sativa (indica cultivar-group) chromosome 3, whole genome shotgun sequence.
AAAAGGACGAACCCUAGGUUUCCAUAUCCAACAUUUGAGUGUCUAUUUUAUAUGCAAUUUUUUUAUAAUUAGUAUUUUCAUUGUUAUUAGAUGAUAAAACAUGAUUAGUACUUUAUACGUGACUUAUCUUUUUAAUUUUUUUCAUAAUUUUUUCAAAUAAGACGAACGGUCAAACGUUGGACACGGAAAAAUAGGGUUUGUCUUUUU